CAGCGAGAGUGAAUGAGAUCACAACAGGAUUGUAUGAGGAUAUCUUCACUGGUGGACCAAGACCAGAUCAUGAGACAGACAACACACCAGAGGGAUAUUAUGAUGUCAUUACUACUAGACAGAACUAUGCCACUGAAAAAGUGGACACACCAGAGAAUUAUGAUGAUGUCAUUAUUAAUGGACAGUGCUCUCAGUGUGCAACAGAGGAAGAUCAGGAGGAAUAUGAUGAUGUGUGGAGUAUAACUGAAGAUGUGAUAAACCUGUUA